GGACCUGACUGCUAUCGGAUUGAUACUAAGCCAUGCGAGUCAUUGUAGCAAUACAAGGCACACGGCUCAGUAACGCGUAGUCAACCUAACCUAUGGACGGGAAUAACCUCGGGAAACUGAGAAUAAUGCCCGAUGGAACAUUAUGCCUGGAAUGGUUUAUGUUCCAAAUGAUUUAUCGCCGUAGGAUGGGACUGCGGCCUAUCAGUUUGUUGGUGAGGUAAUGGCCCACCAAGACUAUUACAGGUACGGGCUCUGAGAGGAGUAGCCCGGAGAUGGGUACUGAGACACGGACCCAGGCCCUAUGGGGCGCAGCAGGCGAGAAAACUUUGCAAUGUGCGAAAGCACGACAAGGUUAAUCCGAGUGGUUUCUGCUAAAGAAACCUUUUGUCAGUCCUAGAAACACUGAUGAAUAAGGGGUGGGCAAGUUCUGGUGU
rnacentral:rRNA from 1 species